GAUGAACGCUGGCGGCGUGCCUAAUACAUGCAAGUCGAGCGAACGGACGAUAAGCUUGCUUCUCUGAUGUUAGCGGCGGACGUGUGAGUAACACGUGGAUAACCUACCUAUAAGACUUGUAUAACUUCGUGAAACCGGAGCUAAUACCGUAUAAUAUUUUGAACCGCAUGGUUCAAAAGUGAAAUUCGUUCUUGCUGUCACUUAUAGAUGGAUCCGCGCUGCAUUAGCUAGUUGGUAAGGUAACGGCUUACCAAGGCAAGGAUGCAUAGCCGACCUGAGAGGGGGAGCGGCCACACUGGAAGUGAGACACGGUACAGACUACGACGGGAGGCAGCAGGAGGGAAUAUUCGGCAAUGGGCGAAAGCAUGACGGAGCAAGGCCGCGUGAGUGAUGAAGGUCUGCGGAUCGUAAAACUCGGUUAUUAGGGAAGAAAAUAUGUGUAAGUAAAUGAGAACAGAUGGACGGUAACUAAAGAGAAAGCAACGGCUAACUACGUG
rnacentral:rRNA from 1 species